GGUCUCCGUUGGUGAACCAGCGGAGGGAUCAUUACAGAGUUGAAAAACUCCCCCAACCAUUGUGAACCUACCUUCUACCGUUGCUUCGGCGGGCGGGCCCCAGCGCCCCCCCGGCCCCCCCGCGGGCGCCCGCCGGAGGAUACACAAACUCUUGUCAUUAGCGGCCUCUCUGAGUCUUCUGUACUGAAUAAGUCAAAACUUUCAACAACGGAUCUCUUGGUUCUGGCAUCGAUGAAGAACGCAGCGAAAUGCGAUAAGUAAUGUGAAUUGCAGAAUUCAGUGAAUCAUCGAAUCUUUGAACGCACAUUGCGCCCGCCAGUAUUCUGGCGGGCAUGCCUGUUCGAGCGUCAUUUCAACCAUCAAGCCCCCGGGCUGGUGUUGGGGACCUGCGGCUGCCCGCAGGCCCCGAAAAGCAGUGGCGGGCUCGCCGUCACGCCGAGCGUAGUAGCAAUCAUCUCGCUCAGGGCGUGCAGCGGGCUCCGGCCGUUAAACCCUCAAACCCAAGGUUGACCUCGGAUCAGGUAGGAAGACCCGCUGAACUUAAGCAU
rnacentral:rRNA from 1 species